AGCAGCCGCGGUAAUUCCAGCUCCAAUAGCGUAUAUAAAGUGUGCAGUAAAAGCUCGUAUGAAUUCGGGAUCAAUACGUCGGUCGUGCUUUCGGGUACGUACUGGCGUCAUUGGUUUCCCUUUCUGACGAACCAUGAUGUCAUUAAUUUGGUGUUAUGGGGAGUUAGGACUGUUACUUGAAAAAUUAGAGUGUUUAAAAGCAGGCAUUAGCUUGAAUACAUUAGCAUGGAAUAAUGA
rnacentral:rRNA from 1 species